CUUCACAUAUUUCUGUGAGGGUUAGAGUUUCCUUGAGAAGUGAAACAGAAUGACUUGCUCAUCUGUGGCAUGCAAAAAGGGAAAAUACAGAAGUCUAAUUUCAUUUUUCUUCUUCACCAUAGGCAUGAUGCUGGCAUCUUCUUAGCCCUCAUCUUGAAUGGCAUAAUUUAUAACAUAUUUUUAAUAGACAUUUCAUAGACAUAGACAUCUCUUCUCCAGCCUACAAGGAUGCAUGCUAAUUUUUUUUUAUUUUUCUCUCUCUCAGCGGAAAUGGUGGACUAGCGUGUACGGACAAGAGCAGAGGUAAAGUCAGUGAACCAUGUUCUGUACUCAAGAAAAGAGGUAUGGUGUUUUGUUUUGGGGGUAGGAAAAAUAAAAUUUCCGGUAUUUAAUUCAGAAAUGUUGAACCGCAUGUCAUCAGCGUAUAGAGAAAGCUUGGUGGGAAAUGCUUUAACCCAUAAGAACCCAGACCCAUUUUUCUUUAUAGGACUGUUAUGGGGCUAUAAAACAGAUUGAAUGGACCACAUGUAACACAUUUCUGAAGUUGUUUAGGAAAAAGUACCCCCUAGUGUCCAAGAUCUGUUAUGUUCCUUAUACUGCAUGUUACAUUGGGCGUUUAUACUAAAUUUUUUAGUAAAAUCAUUUAAAAGUUUGUGACAAAUGUGUCACUGUGGGUUCUUAUAGGUUAAAGUUAGUAAUUUUAGUAUUUUUAUGUAUGUAACCAAGUACUUUUAUGUUUUUGACAGCAGGUGAGAGAAUAAAUAAUGAAUAUGAGAUUCUUACUUCUGUAAAAAAUAAAAACUAAGUAUUCUGACACUCUCAACAUUGCUCUACAUAAAUUAAAACAAUACUGGAUACAGUAUGUAACAUGACAUGGUCUUGACGAAACCACUGGUGUGACGUACUGAGCGGAAGAAAUAGGAAACACAAUGGCUGCUAUCGGUGAAAAAGAAUACAGUGUAAGUCCAUAUAUUUUAGGCUGAAAUUAACAUACCUGUGCAAGUAUUUGGUAAAGUGUGUGGAAGUAUAGCAAUUUGGGAAGUUACUCUCUGCCUUUGGGUGUGGAUUAACUUAGUGAGCUGAUUGAAGUCAAGUUUGUCCGUUUAAAGCAAAUAUUAGCAUUGUUAGCAUGUUGAAGAAUUUGACGUGAUCCAUUUCCUUUUCAUCAUACAUUUUUGUUGAUACUACAGAUUUCCAUUGAGUGUGUGGACAAUCCUGAUGGAUCGCCAGGUGUUGUUCUCUAUGAUGACAAAGCAGUCCAUAUUUUUUGUCAACAACGGAUCACCUCGGACGAUGAACAACAUCCUCACAGCUCUGUGAGAACUUUCAGCUCUGCUCAUAAUGAGAAUGAGAGCACGGCCUUUGGUAGAAAUCCUUCAGAGACUCACAGUUAACCACUAGCCAGUCGAGAGAAGCAGGAGGAGGAGGAUGAAGAGGAGGAGCAGGCAUCAACAUAAACUGGCAAAGAACAGCCUUUGUAUUUAAUUCCCUUCAAGAGCCCCAUUCUUUAUAGUUUAUUUAUGUAGUUUAGUUAGUUCCAUAUAUAUAUAUAUAUAUAUGGUUUCUUUGUCUUUAUUGUCUUUGCACAAAAACAUUGAUGUCAAAAUGAGACAAGAUGAUUUAUGUCUGAAUUAUCUGUUAGCUAAUUUUUGUCUACACUUAUGUACAUAUAAAUACUAUUGUCAAGUUUGGUCGGUGUCGCCGACGCAAAAAGAGCUGAACCCCAAUGCAGAGUCAAAAGAGCAGGCAGGCAGGCAGGCAGGUCCAAGCAAAAGUCUUUAAUUAAACGAAACUGAACUCAAAAAACACACACACUUACUGUGGCUUAGGCAGAACAAAAGAUCAUGGCAAAAACUCCAGACAAAUACAAAGCAUAGCAUGGCAUGGCAUGGCAUGGCAAGGCAAGGCAAGGCAUAAAGAUCCUGACGUGACGUGGGGGAUAAACACAGACACUCUGACAAUGGUGACUGGGAAGACAAGGACUAAAGAGACACGACAACGAGACACAGGUGACACACAUCAGGAGGGAGAAAGCAAUCAGGAAAACCAAAGCAAAGCUACAUGAAAACAGGGCACACAGGGGA